GCUUUAAAUGCAUCCCUGACAUAUUGAUUACUCUUACAGUGCAUUGGUAACGACACUAGUCAAUGAAAAAGUUUGUCUAUUUCUUACAAGUUUCAAAAGGAGCAUUUUAAUGCAUCUCAUAAGUUCCAUUUGCAUGUGAAUAAAUCACCCGUCUGUGAAAAGCGAGAAAGUGUGACAAAUAAUUACAAUACCUUUUGAGUUUGUCAGCAACAAAUUCUCCCAAAAAAUUAGCAACAGGAUCAGGAGAGCGUGUGUAUCCGCCAUGUCUGCCGCCCGGUGCCGAAUCCCGUAACAGUAUUUUUUAUGCAUAUGUGCGAAAGCACGGUGGUGUGCAUUGAAGUGUGUGAUUCCACUUUACACCCUUUCCAACACUAAUUAAAACGUGACUAAUUAUCGCGUUGGGUGAAACUUUAACCAGCCGCCUGCUGAACGCUUCAUCGCACAACACCUCUACUGAAAUAGUUUGCCAACACUAAACUCUGUCAAACUAAUGUUAUAGAAAUUAGUGCACAUCAAGAAAAAGACUUCAAGUUGAUAAGAAAUGAACAUAGUUAGGUUCAUCUAAAAAGAUGUGUUUAUCCUGUUAAUGUAAUAAAAAGACAGGUUUUGGUAUCUGGACAAAGUGCAAACAACCUUUCAGUAAAAACCUACAGAAAUCUAGUUUACAUAAAUGACACCGUUACCUAAUGAACUUGCUAAAGUUUGAACGUUUCUGUAGCGACACGAGGCGUGAUGGAUGGUUGAAGGCAAUUCAAUAUUUUAAGUUCACCAAACAACGUCACCCUGGGAAUUUCAGCCAGGGAAUUGUUUUAAAUCUUCCAAACAAAACUAAGGGGAGGCACUCAGGUUCGUCGCAAAUGAGACUUAAUUUAAAACACAAUGUAAUUUUAUUAAAUUAACGGUGUAAAAACCUCUUCACUCUGGAACAAGCAACGGGGGAACCAAUCAGGGCAGAGACUUGAUGGACGGUGAAACUAAGUGAAGCAACUCAAACAUGCUAAACAUAACGGACACCACCACCUGGGACACCAAUCCGCCACCGCAGACUCAGCACCUGAAGGGAGGGGGGGGGGCGGGGGGGAGAAGACGAGAGCAACAGGUUUCAAAUAAAAAACUAAACCAAAACUGAAAAAAUAAUUACAUUUAACCAAAAAUACGAAUAAAACACCGACAAACUGCUUAAACAAAAUCACAAAAUAAAGAAAACUACAAAUAAAAGGAUCCAAACAAAUGAGUAAGGCCGGUCUCCCGUACAGUUAAAAUGUGUCUUGACCCAGUUAGGAGGCCAAAACAGGUUAAAUACAGCUAAAAGCAGGGCAGACCCAAACGGGGUUACUUUAACCAACAAAGAAAAGCAGUUUAGCCAAAAGGCAAAGAAAGUUACUUUAACCAAGACAAGCAACUUGGCCAAAAGGCAAAGCAAAUCAAACCCGAACAGGGUUAGUUUAACACGGUAAAGCAAAGCCGUUUGGCCAAAAGGCAAAGCAGCAGUGGUCUCUGGCAGGUUAGCGGGUGCAGAGCUGAUGCUCAAGGAUCCUUUGCCCUGCAGAGGAAAACAGACAU
ensembl:lncRNA